UACGGAGGAUGCAAGCGUUAUCCGGAAUGAUUGGGCGUAAAGCGUCCGCAGGUGGCUGUGUAAGUCUGCUGUCAAAGAGCGAAGCUCAACUUCGUAAAGGCAGUGGAAACUACACGGCUAGAGUGCGUUCGGGGCAGAGGGAAUUCCUGGUGUAGCGGUGAAAUGCGUAGAGAUCAGGAAGAACACCGGUGGCGAAGGCGGCAUCCUGGACCGACACUGACACUGAGGAGCGAAAGCCAGGGGAGCAAACGGG
rnacentral:rRNA from 1 species